AAACCUGAGGGGACGGCUUUCCACAAAUAUGGCAGAUCCUGGAGGAAGGAAAUAAGCGGUUAGAAAAGAAUUUUGUCACAAAAACAUGAUAGUUCAGUAUAUUUACCAUACUCAAAAUACUUUAGAAUAAUAUACUUAUUACAGAACUUUGCGGGGAACCCACUUUACAUUUCAGAAGAAAGUUUUCUCCUUCAGCCCCAUAGAAAAUAUCUCCUGUGGCCCACAAGCAAAAAUAUUUGGCAGAAUUUUAUAGAAAUGCUUUUACUUGAAAGCUGUAUUUUGGUUUUGAUUUUGGACAUGGAGACAUUUUCUUAAUUAAGGUAAACCAGCCUUGCUACAGUAUCCUUCCACAUCCAUUUCACUUCCAAUUCCAAGUCGAUUCUCUCUAGCUCAGAGAUAAUUAAAUCUUAAAGACUACAGUUGAGGGUCAGGGCACUGGAGAGACAGCUCAAUGGUUAUGAGCACAGGCUGCUCUUCCAGAGGACCUGGGUUCUAUUCCCAGCAACCACAUGAUCAUGACCACUCACAAAGCAUCUGUAACUCUAAUUCUAGGGAAUAAGUCGAAGUUAUAUCUCACCAAACUUUUGGGGGUUUGUUUUGGUGUUUUUGUUGUUGUUGCUGUUGUCGGCUUGUUUUGUUUUGGGAGGGUUGUUUUGUUUGUCUGUUUGGCCCUUUUGUUUGUAGUACUUUAGCAUUUUCUGGUUUUAUUUCAAAGACCUGAUCCUAGGUUGCAGCAACAGAACGUCCUCAUUUCUUAGUUUUUCCUAGGGGGGUGUUGGCCUGAAUUCAGUAUACCGGUGGCUUUCCUUUCCCCCAUCGGCUCCUUGGGGCACUAGCUGUCUGUGUGUGAGGGUAUGAAUGUGACCAAAGACACAACUAACCAUGAAGGGCAGUGCCACCUCGCCUCCCUCUGUAACUGUCAUGGUGGCAGAAUUUUCCCAGGGUUUCUGACACCUUAAAGUUUCACUAGGAAAAGGGAGCACAAGCAUUUGUGGGGUACAUUCUUCAGAUACUUUGCUGUUGGAGGGAGACGAUUAAGAGUGCGUGUGGCAUAGUAUUUGAAUUGGAUUGACUUCUUUUGAGUGUAAGUCAUAGUUGGGAGAAGAGCAAAGAUCACUUAUUAGACCCAUUCACUCAGGACUGCAAUAGAAACAGCCCAUGGGAUACGUUUUAAGGGUAAGACUAAUAAACGUUAUAGUUAGUGUCUCUACUGACCAAAUUGCUUGCCUAUUGGGGGAGGGGAACCCCUGAUAAGAACAUCUAGAGUUCAAAGAAUACAACUGGGUGACAGUGGCUGGGGUUUUUUUUUUUCCCUUGAAAAUCUUUGGCCUUUAUCCUUUUGUCACUCUCUCAGUCCUGCCACCGGAAGUCUUUGGCUGGGUGAACUUGAAACUUUCAGCCUCCGAACCCUGUAGUAUGAAUGUCCUGAUUUUCUAUCAAAUGAUGUAACUCCCAAAGGCUUCGCAAAGGAGUCAACUUCAUCUAGUAAAACAGAGAGAACUACCGUGCAGCUGGAUCACUUCUUCAGACUGUCUCCACUGCCCAAGACAGGCAACAUCUGUCUUGUUUUGCCGAGUUGCGAAUGGAACCCAGAGCCGGAAGUGUGCUAAGCCUGUGCUCUCAACAUUAAGCUGUGGCACCAGCCCCCAACAAGAGCUUACAGGAAAGUCCCAUUGUCCUCUCUUCCUCACAAACCAGAACCUAGGGCUCAGGAAAUCUCUAGAAUGGCAUUUUCUAUAUCACCAGUCUUAGAGAAACAGCGUAUGGCUUCGUAAUCUCACUCUUGCCACCAAAGCACCGAUAAAGCCAUUGACUACAGGAUGUGUGUCAUCACCAACAUUAGACUAGUUCAUCUAAGAGAGGUCACAUAGAAACCUAUUCACUGCUGUGCUACUGUCUCCCGCUCGUUGUACAAACAAGGGCUGUUCAGUCUCAUGGUAUCUGACUAAUUUUGGGUGGACAAAUGGGGGUUGAGGGAGGGGAAUUGAACCCAUGGUUUUGAACAUGUCAAGCAUACUUUGCUAAGCCCCAAGUCCCUUCUGCCUAGUUUGGCCAUGUUGAAUCAAAUAUGAAAGACUAGAUAGAGACUCUCUCCUAACCUGAAAGUUUGGUGGGAAUGGUCUGUUUUAGGGUUGGUCUCUAGAGGCCCAGCGCUAUCCUCAGUGCUCCCCUGGAGGGAGUUGGGGUGGGGGAAGCACUUGGUAAAUGAAGAAAGAGUCUAAGGACUGCUUCUCUGGUUACGGAGAGACCACAGCCUGGAGCAGUACUCAGUACUUUGCCUGUGUUAUUUAACUUUGUCCACAAAGCAACUGCCAGAAAUAGAUAUUAACAGCUUCGUUUUUUACUCUCUGAGGCUCAGAGUUUAAAGAUGAGAGACUGGGUUGGAAUUUAAAUUAAGGUCCCUGACAUAAAAUUCAUGUCCUUCACCAAGACAUUCAUGGCUUUCCCCGAAGUGAUUUUUGCCCCACAUAAGUUACAAGCAACGUGGGAAACUCUCUGACUUUACCUCAGCUCUUCCUCCAGAUCAGCUUGCUUUGCUCUUGGCCCUGGGGCCUGGCCCUCAGGAUUAUUCAGCCAGCUGCCUGCUUGCAGGAAUACCGGAGGAAAGGGAGCAGGAAGUGUCCUCCCUACCCCACCCCAGCCCUUCUGAUAGCAGCUUUCUUCUCCUAGAACUUGCCUUUUCAAAGUGGGGGCAAUACAGAUCAAGAUUGGUCUGGAUUUGGGGUGGGUAAAAGAUUAGAGAAUGGGUUUUUCUAAAGUAAACAAAUACGGUCAAAUUAAAUAAAAAAUAAGCUUCUGUAGUUGUUAAUUUAUUCCAUUAGAAUUCUAAUCAAAUUUAUUCCUGGGGAUAGGGUGGGUCAGAGAGAAUACAUCAGAAGAUAGGCAGAGCUGUGGAACUCGGAUCCAGAUCAGAUCUCCUUUAGGAUGCUCCCUUAGGAGGAGGCCAGCUCUCAAGAGCUGUGUCCUACUCAUGGUGGCCUAGGGUGACAAAAUUUUUACUUCUUUUUUCUUUAAAGAUUUAUGUAUUUAUUUUAUGUAUGUGAGGACACCAUCCCUUUCUUCAGCCACACCAGAAGAGGGCAUUGGAUUGUGACGGUUGUUGCUGGGAAUUGAACUCAGGACCUCCGGAAGAGCAGCCUGUUUCUGUCAGCGGAUGUUGUAUCCGCAAGGUUCCCGAGACUUCAUCCAUAGACGCAAUCAGCUGGUCUGCCUACUUUCUUCUUCCAGUCAAGCUUUGACUAAAAUAAUACGAAUGCUGAGGACCCUACUGAUUAAGACCUUCAGUUUAGGAGGACAAGACAAAAGGUUUCAACUGCGUUUGAGGCAUACACUUCGAUAAGGCUUGUCAUGUGUACAUCACAAGGUGGGUUGCCUCUGAUAAGAGUGACUAAAAGUGCUCUGGUCCUUGGUGUGACUGUUUUCCUCCUGUCCUCCCUGUCCCUCACCAUUGAUGAGUCAACUCCCUGACACCUUGGGUUAGUUUGCAUUUUCUACUUUUAUGUGAUCUGGCUCUUCUGCUGGGGAUGACUAUUUUGAUAUUCAUCUUUGUUUAUUAUAUGAAUAAAUCAUUCUUUGUACGAAUGGAUUUUUUUCCCCGUUGGAUAAAUAUCUAGCAACGAAAUUGUUCAAAUCAUUUACUAGGCGAGGUUUUUCCUAGCAUUUUGAGACAUUGUCCUCACUUUGUCAUAUUCCUCUGUCUGUCCCACGGGGACAGUACGUGGCAUCCCGGCCUCGAACAUCCUGUCACAAGGAAUGGUUGCUUCAUGUGAGGCAGCAAUUUGUUCCCGCCUCCACAUGAGCAGUUACUAAGGGGCUCCUGUGUUUCUGACAGUGUAAAUACGCUACUCAACAACUGAGAAAAAUAUUAUCCUUUUUGCACCAUACUUCAGUUAUAAUUUGGGAUUGUAUUAUGUAUUUUUUUUAAUGUAUUGUGUGUAACUGUGUGGGUGCAUGAAUGCCUUGGCACACCUAUGGAGAUCAGAGGACAACCCUUAAGAGUUACUUCUCUCCUACAAAGUGGGUCACAGGAUUGGAUUCAAGCUGUGAGGUUUAAGGACAGGCAUAUAUGUUUACCCAUUGGUCUAUUUUGACAGCCCACGGAUUAUGCAUUUUUAGAAAGUCUAUUUUGUGGCCCUUUCAUUUGGAGUCCAGAAAAAAAUGUUACUUUUGGCAAUUUUUCAGUCCAUAAAAUUUUUACUGUUACUUUAAUAUUCCCGGUCUGCUUAUCUGGUAUUAUAUCAUUUUCUACCGUCCCACUGUUUGAAAACAAAUUCUACUGCUCUUGAGGCAUGAUGUCAAAGGUUGAAAUGGGAAAAAGAAUUUAGUAAAAACCCAAUGAGGAUGGGGGUUGGGGAUUUAGCUCAGUGGUAGAGCGCUUGCCUAGGAAGCGCAAGGCCCUGGGUUGGGUUCCCAGCUCUGAAAAAAAGAACCAAAAAAAAAAAAAAAAAAAAAAACCCAAUGAGGAAAAAGGCACCACAGGAAAUAAAUACUAUAACCAUGGUUUGGCUAGGUGCUGACUUUAAUCAUUAUCAAGCUAAUUGGUAGAUAAUGAUAGUGUCUCUUUUUGUCUAAUGUAAUUUGUAUGUAAAUAAGGUGAUGCCCAUUAGUUUCUAUGCGAAGUUGUUACUCAUGGCUCCGAUGACUCUGGACAUUCUAACAUUUAUCCUUCUCACCAUGAUCCUACUUUAGUGUUUCUCCAUAUCAGCUCUCGGAAUUUUCAUUGACUCUUUUCUCCCAAAUAACACUGUCACGUGCUUAAUGGAGGGCAUUGACUUCAUUCCUACUAGGAAAUCUUUUUUCCCCCUCACAUUGCAUAUUUUUAGGGGGAUGGCAGGGACAGUCUUUUCUGGGCAAGUCUUCUCAUGCACAGUAGACUUUGUUUACGGCCUCCCUGGUGGUUAGAUACACAGUAGACAUCAUCCUCACCAGUGGAAUGUGAGAAGUGACAUGUUUCAGAUCCAGGGUGGGGAAGUCAUUCCGCAGCGUGACUCCUUCAGCUCAUUCCGACCAGCAGAAAUGAAGAUGUGGCUGACGUCCAGCAUUUACCGUAAAGAUAAUGAAAAUGUUUUGGAUUUUUUUUUUUUUUUUUUGGCUCUGAAAAACCCUGGUGAGCAGAACUUGACCAGUGACCUGGGUCAUUCAGUUUGGGGCUGCUGUCUGAAACAGAAAUAUACCUUUUAUUCAUGAAGGCCCUGUAGGCACAUUGGUUAUAGAGCCAGGCUUUUAUAGGAGGCUCUGCCUCCCAUGGCUUCCCUUCUUUUCAUUUGCUAGCUUAGUCCUGGUGUUGAUGCCUCUGUAUCACAGCGCUCUCUCUUUCUGGCUUUCCUCUCUCUUUCUAGUAUAUACACACAGACUAGAUUUGUGGUUUCUAUGCCAAACUCCCCUAAUGUUUUGCUAUUUACUGCUGAGUCGUAAAUGUAGACUGUCCAAUAAAUAUUUCUGGGUCCCUGCUAAGAGGACUAGUAUGAUUGAAGGAUUUUUCCUCCCCUCAAAUCUACCUGUUGAAAUCCUUAUCAGUCAUAACCUCUCAUUGGGACCUUAAGCAGGGGAACAGCAUCUUUAAAGAAGUGAUUAAGUUACGAGUUUCUUACGGUGAGCCCUGAUCCUCUGGGACCGUUGCCCUUAUGGAAAGGGCAGGAUUGUCAGUAAGCUGCCUGAACUCUACAGCUGGUGUUGAUGGAGCCUCAUGACUCCAGACCCCAGCAUGGCUGCCACACAGACCUCUCCUACAGCUGCCACCUGAGCACCUGGUGACUUAGUUAUGUCAUCUGGGGAGAAGGAGAGAGAAUGUCUGGCCAAAGGGGAGUCUGCAAUUUGAAGGAAAAUAAGAAAUAAGAAAUGGUAACACAAGCUCUGAAGACAUAUUUAAACUUAAAUAGGGAACCAGUGACUAACACAUAGAGGACAGGCCGACUUGGAAGAAAGAGUCAAUGUUUCCACAGAUGACUCAGGGGUCAAGGCUUGCUUAGAGUCUUGGAGGAGCCCAUAAGAGUUUAUUUUUGAUGCAGAAUAUCACUGUAUAGUCUUGGCUGGCCUGGAACUCACUGUGUAGUCCUGGCUGGCCUAGACCCACCUGCCUCUGCCUCCUCAGUGUUAAACACAUUCAUAGCCAGACCCAGCUUCCACAGUAUUUUUAAGAGGGGAUCUUCCUAAAAGAGGAAAAAGAUCAAUGGUCAGUGUUGAUGUCUUAAAAGAAAAAAAAACAAAACAACAUAAAACAAAGAGAAGAAUAAGACCAUGAGAAAUCUAAUAAGUCUAAUCUAAUAAAUCUAAUAAGAACCAAACAGUUUGAAGGUAGCUUGAUGUAGAUUGGUCAUUAUUCACUGGACAGAGUAACCAAGCACUUGAAAGAAGUCCUUGAUCCCCGAGACAUCUAGGAUCUCUCAGAUGUUAGAGCUGGACAGAUUUACUCUGGUCUUUGAUCAGCACGGGAGUUUUGACUUGCUCCGUUUCUGACCUGGGCCAGUUCUCCCCUCCUUAGGCAACCCGGUGGUCCCCCACUCCUGGGAGGUCACCAUAUUAAUGCCAAACUUAGUGUGAACACCCGAUCAGCAUAGCACACUACAGCCCAGAACUCCUGGACUCAAGCGAUCCUCCUGUCUCAGCCUCCCGAGUAGCUGGGACUACAGGUGUGCACCACAGCACCCGGAUACUCUGGUCUUUGAGUAGUUUCUAAACUAAAGUGACAUAAAUGAGCCUCUGUUCUGCUGUCUCUGUUGUCCCAAGUCCAAAAUGUUGAGCAGACUUUGAUGGCAUAGAUCUCAUGUGCUUGGUUCUAUUUCAAUUACAGCCUCCAUAGUCUUUGAUACCAUAACACAACUUUCUACUGCCUAAAUCCACUGCCAUAGUAGACCAAAAAGAUAGUAACCCUUGCCACGUGCGCUGCUGAUAGAUCUGUGACUUUUUGAGUCUCAACAGUGGGGAACAAGUAGAAGAUAAUGAAGACUAAACAGUGUGACAUCCAAGCAAUGUGGCAUUCAUCAGGAUGGUUCCUAGACACCACCUGUAAUGACUGUUCAUUCAUGGCACUUAAGAGAUUUAGCAGCUGCAAAGGAAGGCCAGAACAUGAGCAUUUACGACAUUGCCCUUUAUUUAUUUAUUUUUUCUUUUUCUUUUUUUCGGAGCUGGGGACCGAACCCAGGGCCUUGCGCUUGCUAGGCAAGCGCUCUACCACUGAGGUAAAUCCCCAACCCCGACAUUGCCCUUUAUUAAGGAUGGCUCAUUGCCUGGAUGCAUGUGGAUAAGUUUUGAGGCUGCACACAGGAUGUUGUUGCAGGUUCCUAGAAGGCUACCUGAAGGAAAUCUGUGGAGUAAAUCUCUCUCCUAAUGGCUACCACAUUUUAAAAUGUUAGUGGUGGCAAUGUCAGCAAAGGACGGGUCCUUUGAUCAUGAUGCUGCCUCUGAACCAUCUCUGCCCAUUAGAAUUCAGUGACUUGUGCCCAGUUUGAGCCUGUCAAGAAAGUGCUUACUCGGUAGUACCUAUGAUAGCAUAUCUAUGAUAUAGACCAACGUAAGCUGCUCUCCACUGAAGAUUGUGUCUGGUUAUAAGAAACAGAGCAGUGGACAUGUCUUCUGAGGAGCCACUCAUAGCCACUUGCUCAUGGAUGGAACUUCAAGCUCCAGAUGACUGAGCGGUGAAGACCAUAUGCUCUAGGACUACCUGCAAUCCAGCAAGCAAGAUGGCCGGACUGCAGUCUAGAAACUUUCAAGUCAAAAGAAACGAGUUACCAUAAGCUGAUUGAACCAUGCCUGUCCGUGAGCCUCUUUCCCUUCCCCAGGAACGAGAUGUGAAGCAGGAGUCUGCAGCUAUGCUGAUAUGUAUAUAGUGGAGAAGAUCCGAGUCUUCCUGGAAAGUUCUUGUGGGAUAGUAACUGUUAGGACACUAGCUAUCUGAGCAAAGGAUCAUCUUGUCAAAAGAAUGUCUUCCAAUUGCCUUUGAAUUCUGCAUCCUUUAAGUAAAGCCAUUGCAUCAGGAUUCAAAGCAGUUUUUAGAAAGCAAACGAUUUCUAUAUCAUACAUCUUCUUUUUCUUGGUUAUUUUGAAGAUGUAGCUCUUGAAUUUAAAAAAUAUGCCUUGUCUAAGUUAAGGAAGGAAUCUUACAAUGGUCACUUCUAAAUAUAAAGCAUAAACUCUUUUAUUGUACACUUUAUAACAGUCAAAUCUAAGAACCUAAAUAACGAGAAACAAGAAUUACUAAGACACCUGAUUUAAACUGAAUGUUUUAACUAUUCUUUGGCUUAGAUUAUUUUCUUUUCUCUUUUUGUUAUGUCUCUGAAUUAAAAAAGACAAUGAGAGGCCAGGAAAAAUGAAAAAAGUGCUACCAAGAUGUGACAAGCAGUCAUGCAAACAAGAAUUGUUCACUUUCUUGGAAAAUAAAAAAUAAAAAAAACUUACUCCUCAAUGCUCAAAUAUCCUGAUGUGCCAAGAUUAUCAGAAUAUUUAAGCAAUGAAGCAAUUCUAGUAACUAGGUCAGAAAUCAGAAGGGAUAGUUAAUGGCUAUCUCUUGAAGGUGUUGAUGUUGUAAAGGUAUACCUAGUAACAUAUUCAAAACUUUACAUAGAUAUUUGUUAUAGAUUGAACAUGUUUUGCCAUC